GACGAACGCUGGCGGCGUGCCUAAUACAUGCAAGUCGAACGCUUUUUCUUUCACCGGAGCUUGCUCCACCGAAAGAAAAAGAGUGGCGAACGGGUGAGUAACACGUGGGUAACCUGCCCAUCAGAAGGGGAUAACACUUGGAAACAGGUGCUAAUACCGUAUAACACUAUUUUCCGCAUGGAAGGAAGUUGAAAGGCGCUUUUGCGUCACUGAUGGAUGGACCCGCGGUGCAUUAGCUAGUUGGUGAGGUAACGGCUCACCAAGGCAACGAUGCAUAGCCGACCUGAGAGGGUGAUCGGCCACACUGGGACUGAGACACGGCCCAGACUCCUACGGGAGGCAGCAGUAGGGAAUCUUCGGCAAUGGACGAAAGUCUGACCGAGCAACGCCCGCGUGAGUGAAGAAAGGUUUUCGGAUCGUAAAAACUUCUGUUGUU
rnacentral:rRNA from 1 species